UAUAAAUAGUGCUUACAUGUUAAACACUUUUCACUUCUCAGAAAUUACAUAAACAAACGCAGGAAAAAGAAGUGUAAAUGUCAUCAGUUCUAGGAAAAUCGUACAUCCGUUAUUUUCUUCACUCGAAGGUCGUAAUUCUUAUUUUGGGAAUUGCUGUAUUUCUAUCAUUAAAUGUAUUUUAAGAUUUUGGUAUGUGUUAAAGCACGUCGCUAAAAUACCAAACAUUUCCAAUGUUGGCUGUACAUAGAAAAUAUACUGUAAAGCGUGUUAAAAAUGUUUUCAAAAGGUCACUUGACGGGCUGAAGAUUGUCCCAAUGAUAUAAUACAGACGGGAAUUUAUACUGGCAACAAAACUAUGAAAAUCCGCAAUAACUUAUCGAUCACAAGUUGAAAGGCUCAGAUGAAAAGGAAAGGAAACGUUACAACGGUAAACUGAAAUCGUUAUUCAACGCACCGGCUAAUGUAAACAGUUAAAAUCACUUAUGACUUGAUUUUAGCGUCGAUUCAAUGGUUGACCAAAAAUUUGACUCACAAAUGAGAAAUGCUGCCUCCAGGGUACAAGAAAAGAUAAAGAAAAUUUGUUAAUAAAAGCUCUAAGUUUUAGAAAGAAAAGAAACAAUAUUGUAGAGUCGUUUUUGUUACAUUAGAGGAAGUUUAUGUAACCGAGCAACGGGUUAUACUCCGAAAAUAUUCCACUCGUGUUGUAAAGGAGACCAUUGAGUAUUAUAUUAGAUAGUUAGCGUAAGUGAUGCUCUUUCUCAAAUUGUAGUAUCACGUAUAUAGAAUAUUUCGACAGAUUUAAGCUGACUAGUAAUAUCUCCUACUUAACCAAGUGUCUGACAGCUAAUCAACUAAGUCAAUGUUUACACUUCUUGGCACUGCUUGUUUACUUUAUUUUUCUUAGGCAUGUGAGUCACACGCUAUCAGUCAAGGGAAGGGAAAAAAAAGCAACUACUCCCCAAAAGAUCCGGUUUGAAUUUUUCGGGCGUUUAGCCAACACCCUCGUAAUCUUAGGGUUUGACCCAUCAUGUCCUAAGCAUUGCCGAUUGCUCACGUACUGAGACUGCGGUAUUUGAAUGAUAAACAGUCUAAUUCAAUGCGAUGAAUCGGAGCAUAGCUUUUAUCACCUUGUAAGAUUACUGCUAGUUUCAUGGUUUAAGUUGCAAACAUGAUGUUUAAACAAUGUCUUCAGUGGUACCCAACCGAGUAAGUUUGAAUAGGCUUCCAGCCAGAAAGAAUGAACAUUAAAACUCUUCUUCGUGUAAUAAAACAGUA